rnacentral:rRNA from 1 species
CAGCAGCCGCGGUAAAACGUAGGUCCCGAGCGUUGUCCGGAUUUAUUGGGCGUAAAGCGAGCGCAGGCGGUUAGAUAAGUCUGAAGUUAAAGGCUGUGGCUUAACCAUAGUACGCUUUGGAAACUGUUUAACUUGAGUGCAGAAGGGGAGAGUGGAAUUCCAUGUGUAGCGGUGAAAUGCGUAGAUAUAUGGAGGAACACCGGUGGCGAAAGCGGCUCUCUGGUCUGUAACUGACGCUGAGGCGCGAAAGCGUGGGGAGCAAACAGGAUUAGAUACCCCCGUAGUCCCUGUCUCUUAUACA